rnacentral:rRNA from 1 species
UACGUAGGGGGCGAGCGUUGUCCGGAAUGACUGGGCGUAAAGGGCGCGUAGGCGGUCAAAUAAGUCUGGAGUGAAAGUCCUGCUUUCAAGGUGGGAAUUGCUUUGGAUACUGUAUGACUUGAGUGCGGAAGAGGUAAGUGGAAUUCCCAGUGUAGCGGUGAAAUGCGUAGAGAUUGGGAGGAACACCAGUGGCGAAGGCGACUUACUGGGCCGUAACUGACGCUGAGGCGCGAAAGCGUGGGGAGCGAACAGG